rnacentral:rRNA from 1 species
UACGAAGGGGGCUAGCGUUGCUCGGAAUCACUGGGCGUAAAGCGCACGUAGGCGGCUUUUUAAGUCAGGGGUGAAAUCCUGGAGCUCAACUCCAGAACUGCCUUUGAUACUGAAGAUCUUGAGUUCGGGAGAGGUGAGUGGAACUGCGAGUGUAGAGGUGAAAUUCGUAGAUAUUCGCAAGAACACCAGUGGCGAAGGCGGCUCACUGGCCCGAUACUGACGCUGAGGUGCGAAAGCGUGGGGAGCAAACAGG